rnacentral:lncRNA from 1 species
CUAAAAGAGACUAGGGGGUAUUACUUCUAUCUUGCUAAUGAACAAAAAGUGUUCGUCAGCAAUAGGACAGUCUUUUUGAAAAAAAAAUUUCUUGAAGAAGAAACAAAUACCUCUAAAAUUGAACUUGAUAAAGUUUGAUUGGUAGAAGAACUGAUACAAUCUAGUAAACUCAUAGAGUCGGAUUUGAUUAGAUCAAAUCUGAAACCUGUUAUAGAGACAUCUUUGAGG